UGAAAGACACGGGUAGUGAGAUAUGGAUUUUUCAUCUCUAUAUUCGUGUCUUUC
rnacentral:pre_miRNA from 12 species